rnacentral:piRNA from 1 species
UGGUCCGUUCUUCAUCUGACA